AUGAACGCUAGACGGCAGGCUUAAUACAUGCAAGUCGAGGGGCAUCAAAGGUACACGAAAGUGUAUUGUUGGGCGACCGGCGGACGGGUGAGUAAUAGGUAGGUAACCUACCUCAUACUGAGGCAUAGCUGGGAGAAAUUCCAGGUAAUUCCUCAUGAGGUUAUAUGACACAUGUGAUAUAAUCAAAGGUAUCGCAAGGUACUGGUAUGAGAUGGGCUUACUGACCAUUAACUAGUUGGUGAGAUAAGAGCUCACCAAGGCGAAGAUGGUUAGGGGUUUUGAGAGAGAGAUCCCCCACAUUGGAACUGAGAUACGGUCCAGACUCCUACGGGAGGCAGCAGUAGGGAAUAUUGGGCAAUGGGCGGAAGCCUGACCCAGCCAUGCCGCGUGAAGGAAGACGGCCUUAUGGGUUGUAAACUUCUUUACUAUGCGACUAACUAGAUUUACGAGAUAAUUCUAUAGAAUGUAGCAUAGCAAAAAGCACCGGCUAACUCCGUG
rnacentral:rRNA from 1 species